CCUACGGGUGGCUGCAGUGGGGAAUUUUGCGCAAUGGGGGAAACCCUGACGCAGCAACGCCGCGUGGAGGAUGAAAUCCCUUGGGAUGUAAACUCCUUUCGAUCGGGACGAUUAUGACGGUACCGGAAGAAGAAGCCCCGGCUAACUUCGUGCCAGCAGCCGCGGUAAUACGAGGGGGGCAAGCGUUGUUCGGAAUUAUUGGGCGUAAAGGGCGCGUAGGCGGUCUGACAAGUCUGAUGUGAAAUCUCUGGGCUCAACCCAGAGUCUGCAUUAGAAACUGUCGGGCUUGAGUAUGGGAGAGGUGAGUGGAAUUUCCGGUGUAGCGGUGAAAUGCGUAGAUAUCGGAAGGAACACCUGUGGCGAAAGCGGCUCACUGGACCAUAACUGACGCUGAGGCGCGAAAGCUAGGGGAGCAAACAGGAUUAGAUACCCUAGUAGUC
rnacentral:rRNA from 1 species